rnacentral:rRNA from 1 species
ACCUACGGGGGGCAGCAGUGGGGAAUAUUGCACAAUGGGGGAAACCCUGAUGCAGCAACGCCGCGUGAGUGAAGAAGUCAUUCGUGAUGUAAAGCUCUAUCAGCAGGGAAGAAAAUGACGGUACCUGAGUAAGAAGCCCCGGCUAACUACGUGCCAGCAGCCGCGGUAAUACGUAUGGGGCAAGCGUUAUCCGGAUUUACUGGGUGUAAAGGGAGCGCAGGCGGCCUGGCAAGCCUGAUGUGAAAUACCGGGGCCCAACCCCGGGGCUGCAUUGGGAACUGCCAGGCUGGAGUGCCGGCGAGGCA